rnacentral:lncRNA from 1 species
AGAUUGAAUAUAGGCCAAAUUACAAGUUCUUGAUAAAUUGUUCGGCCUAUUUGAUUAACAGAUUCAAAUGCAAAAAUAAUUUCAGUCUAAAAUUGAAUUGGCUAAAUCACUAGUUUUUCAGCAUCAAGCUGGGGAAAAAAUCACGAUAUAUAUAUAGAAUUCGUAAAUCAAGUAUAUAUAUAUAUAUAUUACAUGUAUAUGUAUUAUGACUUGCUCAAUCUUCACGAGAGUAGGUUCUACGCGCAGUACUUCGUAGUAUAUACUCAACCCCAAAUAAAGUGCUUAUUGAAUGAAUUUCCUCAUAAUCUUCAACAUAUUCUGUACGUUUACAAUUUUCAAAUGUACAUGUAUAUUGUUGCACCAAUAAAGGAAACACGCUUGCCAUCAAUUUAGAUCAAUUUCUUGCAUAAAAGAAUAAACUACAAUUUGAAAGUAUAUUGAUCUAUGAGGAUUCUCAAGUUGAUCGAUCUAUAUGUUCACAUGUGGUAAUGAGUGCAAUAAUUAUAGGCAAAAAUUAAAUAAAUCACCCUCUAUCUGUUCUUCUUUCUCUUUGAAUCAAAUGAGUAAAUUAUUAAAGUAAACCGUUUAGGUAAAGUCUAAAGCAAUAUAUAUGGUAUAUAGCAUAUGCAAAGUCUAAUACAAUUGUUUAUUACUGUAGUGUUCGGCAAGCAUAUAUAGAAAUUAAAAUAAUAAUAAUAAUAAUAAUCAUGAUCAAUUUUAUAUUUUUCAAAAUGCUCACUUGGUACUUGGUAGCUCAGACGACACCUUGAGUCCUAAGGUAGUGACGAGGUAUAUAUAUAGGAAGGUUAAAUUAUGGGAAUUAUUGGAUUGCUUUGCUGGAUUAUAUUGUGCUACUUCAUAUUUAU